ensembl:lncRNA
GUCUGCUUGAAUCGAAGGGAUAACUUUCAUGAACACACCCAAAAUCGCAGCUAGUCAGAGGCAAUAUUUUGAUAGAAUGACUACUCUUGUUGUGAAUGCGAUACAACGCCUGAUUGUCUAAUAUUAGUUGACAGUUACAGUCAGUGUUUCACACUGUGAGUUAACCUACAUUAAACAUUACUUCUUACAUUCGAAUCCACGCAUCUUAUCUAGCUUGCAAGCCCGCUAACGGGUGCCUCUCCUGCAUCAGCUAUACAAUGGAUGAAGAGUUAGACUGCAAACCAAGUGUUACGCCCACUUGUAAGACUGAACCGGAUCCUAUGGAACCGAUGGAUGCCAUACCUAACAUUAAUGGUUUAGAAGCAGAACAUUUGGGAAUUAAGGUGGAGGUCAUUGAAGUAGAAAACCCGAAAGAGGAGGAGGUGGAUGAAACCUAUUCGGAUGCCCCGCACACCUCAUGCAAAAAGCGUUUUAACUCUGAGGAGGAGGCGAUACUGUGCAGGGAGGUGCUCGCCCACUGGGACGAGCUCUUUGGCCAGCGGCGCCACCUGCUGCCCAGGGCAGGCCGAGGUUCCAUUUGGAACGAGGUGGCGGCGACCGUCCGGUCCUCGUCCGGGGUGGCUAGGGAGGGCGAAGAGGUCCGCAAGAAGUGGUACCACUUCAACAACCAGCUGAAAGCCAAGCUGGCGGUGAUUAGCGCCUCGGGAGGAGAGAACGGGAACCCCGGGCCCGAGGCGCUCAGUGAGCUGGAGGCUGAAGUGGCCUCUAAGAUGAAGGAGACGACCGCUAGAAGAGAUGCUGGACGCGUAGCCCAGGGAUUACCACAGGAACUUGACAAAACCUCAGUAAAAUGCCAGGCCUACCACAAGCGCUUCAGCAAAGACGAAGAGGAGAUUUUAUACGAGGAGAUCCUGCAACACUGGGAAGAGCUUUUCGGCGAACGUCACAACCUCCUACCUCGCGGCGGCCGCUCCGCAAUCUGGAACAACAUCGCCGACAAGAUGAACGGCAAGUCCGGGUCGAGUGUCGCCCGCGACGGGGAGGACGUGCGGAAGAAGUGGUGCAACCUCAAGAAGCGACUCCAGCCGAAGCUUUGUCCAAUGGCAGCCAUCCAGCCAGGGGAGCUUGGAGAGGGUGGGAGCACUGCAGAGGAUCUCAGCCUGUUGAAGCAGAAGAUUGUGUCCAGGAUGAAGAAGGAUGCAGCUGACAGUGAGACGGGGACUAGCACCAGUGAGUGUCCUCUCCUGAUGUUUUAGUUUUGGUUACGGUGGUAGACGCUUUUGUUAGACGGUUUGGUAGACACUUUUGCUUUUGUUCCAAAGCCACUUUUUUUUGAUGAAAUAGAAUAUCAUAUUUUGGUCUAAGAAACUCAAAAGUACAAUUGCUUAAUUUGUCUGGAUAGAAAUGUGUGAAGUCUUCUAUUACAUAUCUGAAAAUCACUACACUGAUGUGCCAUGAUUUUAAGAGCUAUUCUUCAUGUCUUGCAGUCUGCAUAUUUCUCUUUUGGAAUAGUUAUACAAAUGUGUAAAAGGUAAAAUUUUGAAUGUUCAUCUUUGAAAGGACAUAAGUUGUGCUUGAUUUCAACUAAAGUAAUAAAGGUGUGUUUAGUUGCA